AAGUCCCUGCAGUUUUAUUCUUGCAGAUAUUUUUCCAGUUGUAUGUCGAACAUUUGCAAAUUGCUGAUUCCUCCAAAGCUUGUACAGCACAGUUGUUAGUUGGAAUGCUCGUUGGCACAGACACUGUGUUUGCUGAGAAGACCGGUUGCUCAGGGAAAGCUUCACUUGGAGUGGCCCUGCGUGCCUCUUGGGCUUGAGGUUGCAUCUGUGCGACUCUGAGCUCAGGAGCCCUGACAAGCGGCAUAUGAAUUCUGUAUUCAUUAGUGAUCUUGAUCCAAAUGCCUCUGUCCCUGCCAUGGGGGCUCAGGUGUGGAAGCUGCUGGCUAAUCCCACCAGCUGACAUUCAGAGGUUUAAUGACUCCAUAGGAAGGUGACCACUUGCUGGGAGGUUUGCUGACGGAACCCACGCAGCAGACAAUGGAGAUCAAGGAAGACUAUCAGUGUUUAGCCGAAGCACCUUCCUGUGCAACUUGAACCCUGUUGGCAUCAAGCAGAGUUUUAAUAAAUGCAAAAUUAAAAAAAAUAAUCUGACCUUCGAUAGCUAUCAUAACAAUGAUUUUUCUGUCUGUAUUGAUAUUGAUGGUGUUUAAGACAGUUUUUCUUGUAGCACUUUAAUAGGUGUCAGUUUAAUGAGCUGAACUUGACUCACUUUUGCAGAUUUUUAGAUUUUAAGGUUAUGUUGGUCUGGUUGCUAUAUCCAUUUAGGUAUGUUGUAUGUCUGGGAAAAAUCAUAUAGUUAGAACCAAAAUGCAUUCUUACUAAAUGCUUUUAGGGAUUUAUGCUGACAUUUUUAUUUAUGUGAUCUCUAGCUUUUACAAAAUUACUAUUGGAAUGUAAGUUCUUGGAUUGACUUGUGACAUGUCACUAGGUGUUUUGACCUUUUUAAGGUCCUCUAGUCUAAAAAUGCUGGAUGCCUUAUUAUUUAGUAACAGCUUCAUUGAGAUAUAAUUUGCACCCAUAUAAUUUACUUAAAGUGUACAAUUCAGCGAUUUUUUAGUACAGAGUUGUGCAAAUAUCACUAUAGUAAAUUUUAGAAUGUUUUCAUCACCCUCAAAAGAAACCCAUACCCAUUAGCAGUCACUCCCCAUAUCCCCUGACCCUCCCAGCCCUAGGCAACAACUAACCUACUUUUUGUGUUGAAACACUUGCCUAUUCUGGACAUUUCUCAUGGUAGGAGUCAUACAAUAUACGGUCUUUUGUGACUGGCUUCCUUAACUUACAAUAUUUUCAUAAUAUUUCAUCCAUGUUGUGCCAUGUAUUGGUACUUUAUUUCUUUUUUUAUGGUUGAACAGUAUUCCAUUGUAUGGACAUACCGCAGUUUAUUUAUCCAUCCGUUAGUUGGUGGACAUUGGGAUUGUUUUCAUAUUUCAGCUAUUAGGAGUAAUGCUGCUAUGAACAUUCGUGUACUAGUCUCUGUGUGGAUAUAUAUUGUCAUUUUUCUUGUAUACACUUAGGAGUGGCAUUGCUGACUCAUAUGUUUAACUUUUUGAGGAACUGCCAAACUGGUUUCCAAAGCAGCUAGGUCACUAGCAGUCUAAGAAUUCUAAUUUCUAACCCUCGCCAACACUUAUUAUCUGUCUUUUUGAUUGUAGCCUUCCUGGUGGGUGUGAAUUGGUAUCUCAUUGUGGUUUUGAUGGAUUCCUUAUUGGUAAGACUAAUGCAACUGUGGGGCUGUUUAGAUGGAACUGCUGAAGCACUGGACACACUUCUUUACACACUGGAUUUGGGCAGUAAUUGAAUUGGUUGCUCAUUUGUUUAGAUACUGAAAGGUCCCUCUUAGAGGCUCUCCCUGAGGCUGUUCUUGUCAUUUGAUUUCGGUCCUAAUACCUGCUUAUUGGCUUUCCUUAAGAUCUGCAGCAUUAACAUCAUAAAUUGUGUCUUCAUUUUUGGAUCAAAAAUGUAUUAAUUUUCUCCUUAGUUGUAUUUAAUGUAAUGCAUUAAUUUUUAGAGAUGUCAGAACCCAAAGAUAACAUUUCUGGGGCCCUGAUUAGAAUUAUUCUUAGUAGUCAUAUCCAGUGGAGUUAAAUAGUUAAUUUUAGAAAUGAACAGAUAUUAAAGAUGGCACUCAUUUUGUUCAGUGGGUGAUUUGGAGAAUUACCAUUGACCUUUAGAAUAGAUAUUAAUGAGAAGAUCCUGCUGAUGGCUAAAGCUUCUCACCAGCAUCGGAUAUUUUGAGUUGUCCUUCUUUUAAAAAGUGAAUUUGUUCUCCAAAAUUUGAACCCACUGGUAGGCCAACUUUGGAGAGGCAGAAGGAACUUCUUGCUCACAUUUUCAUCUUGUGGUGUUUUAGAAGGCAGAUGGAAGUUUUGUUUUUUCACCUGAUGCUUCAACAGCAAGACUGCUCUCUACCAUAAGAGUUUGGAAUUUAACAUGUAAUUGCUUCUCUCCCUUUGGUUUUCUAGGAUUCCUUAGUCUUCCUUGACUUAGAAAUAACCACUUAUAUGUCUGUCUCCUGGCCAAGUCCGUGUCUUCCUUGUCAUGGUGGUGGCUCAUUAUCAUUUCUACCCUUGCCAUUGUAUUCUGCCUUUGAUGAAAGUUGAAGUUCAAAGUGUGAUUUUUGGACUAGAGAAACGGAAGAAGUGAAAUACAGGAUUGAGUGUAACUGGAUGGCAGCUUAGAAUCUUAUAAGUUUUGCCUUGGCAGGUAAUUUGGCAUAAAUUGUUAAUGUAAAUCUGGGUUAGUGGUGAAGACGUUAUUUUAGUAAAAAAGAUAAACUGCUGAUUAAUUCAGCAUAGAACUCAAUUACAAAUUGAAAGUGUCUCUGCGGGACUCCCGGACCCUAAAGACAGCAGAUGUUGAAUUGAUACUCCAGCAUAUUUCACAGUGGUAUGAAAUAUUAACAUGGUUUAUUAUACUUGU